AGGAGAAUAAGAAAGAGGAGAAGAAGAAGAAGAAGAAGAAGAAGGAGAAGUAGAAGAAGAAGAAGGAGGAGGAGGAGAAGAAGAAGAAGAAGAAGAAGGAGAAGAAGGAGCAUAAGGAGGAGGAGGAGAAGAAGAAGUAGAAGAAGAGGAAGAGGAUGAUUACAAUACUUUUCUUAUUUUGAGCUUAUUAUGUCAUUUAGGAGGAAGAUACACUAAGUUAUGAGCUAACAAAGGUUCUUGUGAUGUUUUUUACCUAACUAAGAUAAUUA
rnacentral:lncRNA from 1 species